rnacentral:rRNA from 1 species
GAUGAACGCUGGCGGCGUGCCUAAUACAUGCAAGUCGAGCGAACAGAUGAGGAUCUUGCUCCUCUGACGUUAGCGGCGGACGGGUGAGUAACACGUGGAUAACCUACCUAUCAGACUGGGAUAACUUCGGGACACCGGAUCUAAUACCGGAUAAUAUAUUGAACCGCAUGGUUCAAUAGUGAAAUACGGUUUUGCUGUCACUUAUAGAUGGAUCCGCGCCGCAUUAGCUAGUUGGUAAGGUAACGGCUUACCAAGGCAACGAUGCGUAGCCGACCUGAGAGGGUGAUAGGCCACACUGGAAGUGAGACACGGUCCAGACUCCUACGGGAGGCAGCAGUAGGGAAUCGUCCGCAAUGGGCGAAAGCCUGACGGAGCAACGCCGCGUGAGUGAUGAAGGUCUUCGGAUCGUAAAACUCUGUUAUUAGGGAAGAACAAAUGUGUAAGUAACUAUGCACGUAGUGACGGUACCUAAUCAGAAAGCCACGGCUAACUACGUG